GUAAUGGCGAAUGAACAGGGAUGAGCUCAGGCUGGAAACCGAUACAUCUGUGUCGGGCUGUAGCCUGCAGGCAUAGCGCUAUCGGCGGCUCGAGCGCAAGCCUCUUGGAAUAGAGCGUGUGCCCGGGUGAGAAUCCUGCAUUUCGCUCGAUGUCCGCUGUCCACAGUGCUUGUCCUGAGAGUCACGCUCCUCGGAAUUGGAGCGUAAAUCAGGUGGUAAGUUUCAUCCAAAGCUAAAUAGAAGCUCGAGACCAAUAGCAAACAAGUACCAUGAGGGAAAGAUGAAAAGGACUUUGGAAAGAGAGUUAAAAGUGUUUGAAAUUGCUGAGAGCGAAGCGAACGGAGCCACAUGUCGUGCUGAGAUUGCUGUGGGUCUUUGUGAGCCUUGAGCAUGUAAGCGCAAGCUGACUGCUUAUGUGUGAGCAUUUACCCGCAGUGUUUCUCAGCAUGCGAGUCAUUAGCCACAUUUGUUUGAGGAUGGCCUUCAGCUCACAUGGUACACUUGUUAGUGUUCCUCUGUGCGGUGUGGGACUCAGACAGGUGUGGCUUGUUGACCCAGUGGUUUUUUUCGACCCGUCUUGAAACACGGACCAAGG
rnacentral:rRNA from 1 species